CCUACGGGAGGCUGCAGUGGGGAAUAUUGCACAAUGGGCGCAAGCCUGAUGCAGCCAUGCCGCGUGUGUGAAGAAGGCCUUCGGGUUGUAAAGCACUUUCAGCGGGGAGGAAGGCGGUGAGGUUAAUAACCUCAUCGAUUGACGUUACCCGCAGAAGAAGCACUGGCUAACUCCGUGCCAGCAGCCGCGGUAAUACGGAGGGUGCAAGCGUUAAUCGGAAUUACUGGGCGUAAAGCGCACGCAGGCGGUCUGUCAAGUCGGAUGUGAAAUCCCCGGGCUCAACCUGGGAACUGCAUUCGAAACUGGCAGGCUAGAGUCUUGUAGAGGGGGGUAGAAUUCCAGGUGUAGCGGUGAAAUGCGUAGAGAUCUGGAGGAAUACCGGUGGCGAAGGCGGCCCCCUGGACAAAGACUGACGCUCAGGUGCGAAAGCGUGGGGAGCAAACAGGAUUAGAUACCCGUGUAGUC
rnacentral:rRNA from 1 species